AUGUCGAGCAGAAGGUCGUCGCGCGGCGCCAUCUCCGACGAGGAGGUCAACGAGCUCAUGUCCAAGCUCCAGUCUCUGCUCCCCAACUCUCGCCGCCGCGGCUCCAGCCAGGCGUCGACGACGAAGCUGCUGAAGGAGACGUGCAGCUACAUCAAGAGCCUCCACCGGGAGGUGGACGACCUCAGCGACCGGCUGUCGGACCUCAUGUCGACCAUGGACCACAAUAGCGCCGAAGCGGAGAUCAUCCGCGGCAUCCUCCGCUCGUGA
rnacentral:rRNA from 1 species